GUAAGUACUGAGUACGGAGAUGGCAGGGCUGACACCGCCCCCUCUGCAGAAUGCAGCUUGCAGUGCAUUUUCGGAGAGGAGUGAGCUCAGGAAAGUCCCGUGCACAAGACAAGGACAUCCAGUUCUGUUUUAAAACCAAGCUUGGAGUAGACCACACAGACAGCUCACCCACCCGCAUCGCCCCUGGAGCACGUCCAGCCUUCUGGUCCCUCGGUGGGUGCUUUUCUGUCUUCUAGGAAAGGAGACAAUCUAUAUGGAGAUCAGGAAGUCCCUAACGGACUCUGCCCUGACUUUAGUUCUGAGCCUAUAAGAAGCCCAUGGCUGUCAGUGAACACACAUGAUACAUCUCUGGGGUAUGUCGACUACCAGAAAAGGUACCCAGUGAGCACUACUUCUCACUAGGUUCCUCAACAUGUACAACGAUUUCCCUUGGCGUCUGCCCCCAUAGCAAUUCAAGGAAGUUG
ensembl:lncRNA